rnacentral:tRNA from 1 species
UGGGGUGUAGCUCAGUGGUACAGCACAUGCUUAGUAUGCAGGAGGCUCUGGGUUUCAUCCCCAGCACUGCAA